rnacentral:tRNA from 1 species
GGGGUUGGAAGGGUAGCUGGUGCGCCCCGCGGUCUUCAAAACCGUUUGAGAGAUGCGUGACAUCUUUGAUGGGUUCGAUUCCCAUACAAUCCCGCCA